AGUGGUAAAUUGGGAGAUCACGUUAUGGGAAAUGCUCUUGAAUUGACAUUUUAAUCCAGGAAGAUAUCAGUUGAGAAGUAAACUCAGAAACUAUGAUGGGACAAUGAAUGGCUCAAAGCCUGCCAGAAGUUGGAAUGGAAUGUAUCUAGAGCACAAGAGCCAAGUGUUUCUCUGUCUUCUCUCCAGAGAGAGUUUGAGAAUUGGCUCCUGUGAUUGCAGAGGCUGUUCUGGAGACGGGAAGUCCAAGAUCAAGGCCUCAGCAGAUCUGAUGUCUGGUAAGGAC